UACGUAGGGGGCAAGCGUUGUCCGGAGUUACUGGGCGUAAAGCGUGCGCAGGCGGUUGUGUAAGACAGAUGUGAAAUCCCCGGGCUUAACCUGGGAACUGCAUUUGUGACUGCAUCGCUGGAGUGCGGCAGAGGGGGGAUGGAAUUCCGCGUGUAGCAGUGAAAUGCGUAGAUAUGCGGAGGAACACCGAUGGCGAAGGCAAUCCCCUGGGCCUGCACUGACGCUCAUGCACGAAAGCGUGGGGAGCAAACAGG
rnacentral:rRNA from 1 species